UAAACUAGGGUGUUGGAGCUAGCCUUUAUCAGCUGGCAAACUAAUUGUUAAAAUUUCAGGAAUUCUUGUGAGUUGGUUGUCAAACCACAGGUAGAUUGAACUCUGCCAUGGAGGGAAGUAUUUACACCACAGAAAUUGGCACAGACGUUACACAUCCGCAACUUGUCUAACACUUCCCCCAGCUGCUUGUUAAACAUUUACUCAGAUGGCCGCUUCCGGGCUGGCUCUGGGCCUCUCUCCAGGCUCAGCUCACACACCGGAAGUGCCGAAUGGACCACUAUUCCUGUCCCUGGUUUUCCGCGAAUGCUGCCCCCUUACCCUGGCUUCAUUUUUCAAGAUUCAAGUCCAGCGUCAUUUCCUGGAAAAGACUCCUCUCUGCAGCUGCUGAGUCACGCUUGGACCCUCAAAUGUAACCCCGAAUAUCAGCAGCAGACCCCCCCACCCCUGGGGGAAAAGUCUCCAAUCAGAGAUCCUCUGAGGCGAGCCAAGAGCGGUUUUGGAGGGAGCAGCGCAUAUUUUGAGGCAAUGCUUUACUGGGGAUCCUGCUGCAGCAGGGGGAAGAAGCCCCAUGAGAGCCUCCCUGCAAGAAGCCAGAACAUUAUCACCAACCCCUCUCCUCUGUCCCCU
ensembl:lncRNA